rnacentral:rRNA from 1 species
GACGUAGGGCGCGAGCGUUGUCCGGAUUUAUUGGGCGUAAAGAGCUCGUAGGCGGCUUGUCGCGUCGACUGUGAAAUCCCGCGGCUCAACCGCGGGUCUGCAGUCGAUACGGGCAGGCUAGAGUUCGGUAGGGGAGACUGGAAUUCCUGGUGCGCGGUGAAAUGCGCAGAUAUCAGGAGGAACACCGAUGGCGAAGGCAGGUCUCUGGGCCGAUACUGACGCUGAGGAGCGAAAAGCGUGGGGAGCGAACAGG